rnacentral:misc_RNA from 1 species
GACAGAUCAUCAUCGUUCACACAAGCUGAGAAAAGCAAUUUCAAUCACUUGAAUCGACUUCACUUCUCGCGAGUCGGGUGGAUGAUGCUUUAAAAAAUGUUUGCUCAAACCUAGCUCUACUCCAAAGCAACCGCUAUGUUUGGAACAUGUUUACUCAUCAUCUGUCUCAGUUUCUAUUCUGGAGGCGAAACUGCAAAUGAUCUUUUUCUCCUGUGUCCAAUUGAAGGUUGCUACUGCU